UCAUUAUUUCUUCAGCCAGUGGGGUGGGAGGGCUGUACCAAGGGCAGAGUGAUCAAACAUGGAGAGGGAGCUGUGGACACCCACACAUGGGAAUAAAGGAAAAUCUUGAGUUCCAUCAGGGAAAUCCUAGCUAGCCCUGAGAAGUAAAUAAACAGCUUGAUAAACAGGAAGGUAAUAGUAGUCUAAAACAAUAGCUAAGGAAGUUAGAGUCAGGAGAUGUUUGGUUCCCCUCUAGAAACUAAAGAUAACAUCUUAACUUACUAGCUGUGUGACCGUGUGCAAGUCACUUAAUGGUGCCUGGCACACAGGCGUUUAAUGUCCCUGAGCUGUUUUUCAGAAGCCCAGACCUCUCCAAAGGGAUCCGCUGGCUUGUAGACCUCAGGCUGUUUCUCUUGGAGGUGGUGCAGGAGGUUAAAGAAAGCACCUCUGAUGAGCAGAUAGCUGGAGGCUGUUCCCAAGAUCAUGUCUCAGUGAAGAAGUUGGAGUCCAGCAGCCAUCAGAACCAAGCGAGAAGGAACCUGGAUGGGAUUCUAAAAAGGAGAUGCCCGGAACCACCCUCCUUACUUCCAGAAUGACUGCCUUCCUCAAAAGCCAGAGGACCAGAGGCUCAGCAGGUGCGUCAUUAACGUCAGCAGGUGCACAGUCUCCCAGAGGAGCCAGCAGUGGCUGAGGCCAUGCCUAACAUCCCCUCUGCAUGCACCAAAAGAAUUCCUUGAGAGCUGCCCACUUAAGGCCAAGGCAUCAGAAUGCUCGCCUCAAAGACCCACAGAGCCCUCUGAAACCUUCCAAAGUGGGUCUCAUUGUCUCAGGGCAGUCUGGAAAAGAAAUCUCAGAUAGAGGGGAGGAUAUUGCCAAGAGCUAAUGCCACCUUGAGAGGAGUUUGCAGGAGCGGGCUCUACCGGCUUCCCUCCUAUUCCCUACCACCUGGCACAGGAAUUGCAGCCGAUACUUAUGCUUCUCACCUCCUGUGCACAGCCAUAGUCCGUCCAUUCCUGGCGAUAGCGGUCAAAGCCACUGGAGCAUCUGCAGGAGGACCAAAAGGUCAGAGGUGUGAUGGGAUCCACAAGGAAGCCCUCCCCUGUCACUGUUCAGUAACAACUCUCUGCUGAUAGUGAGAAGAGGAGCUAAGGUCCCCAGGCUGAGGUCGUCAGGCACUCCUGUUCCCUCUACUUCCCUGGAAGAUGAAGGUAUUUGUGGCAUCCCUGCCUUCCUUCUGACCCAGCUCCCCAGGACCAAGGCCUCAUCUGCCCAUGUGAGUAGGUGUAGGGGCUAGCAGGACUGCAUGAGCUCCAGUGAUCCUCAAGGUCGUCUUGACUGUGAGCUGCCAUGACACUGCUGAGAAUCCAGGCAAUUCACAUACGUGUUUUCAUCCUGGUUAUUGAGGGGCCUAACCUUGGGAAGGAGAGUGGGGCUAAAGGUAGGCAUCAGCAGAUUUAGUCAACACCUCCCAGGUGAUCAUUCAAGGGCAGAAAUGAUCUUGCCGGAGGCUGGGAGAGAUUUACAACUGGCUGACAAGGGUCUCCAGAGAGGGCAUUGGGCAGCUCAGCUGGGUGGAAGACACCAAGCACCCCUGUAGGGAAAGGAUGGGGGCAUGAUGAUGCACCAGAGAAUGCUCUCCAUGGAUCAUUCCCAACUUUUUGUUCUUUACUCUUUGGUGCUAGGGGAACCCUCCAAGCCCUACUGAAGCCCAGGGACAUCUGCAUAGGAAGAAUAACAUCAUGAACCACCAGUGCCGAGAAGGAACUCUCAGCAGGUUAACUGCACCAGCACCCACUGAAGUUCGGGUAAACAAUCUGAGGCCCCCAAGAGAGUGAAUGAAAGCACAGCUGGUGGGAAGAACACCUGGGAGACCUGAUGGACACACCCCAUCCCCUCAGGGCCCAGAGCCGUGUCCGUGUGCUAGGCAGGCUGCCUAUAAAGGUGAGAACUUCUACACUUGCAGCAGGAUAUUGGAAAGGAGCAAAGGAAUCCUGGAAUUAAUGUUACCCUUAGACUCCAGAGUGGGCCAUGGUGUGGAGGCAUAGGAAAUCAUUGGGACCAGGGGCAGCAGUUCACGCCCGUAAUCCCAACACUUUGGAAGGCCGAGACAGGUGGAUUACCUGAGGUCAGGUGUUUGAGACAAGCCUGGCCAACAUGGCGAAACCC